UACGAGCGGCCCAAACGUUAUUCGGAUUUACUGGGCUUAAAGAGUUCGUAGGCGGCGCGGAAAGUAGGGUGUGAAAGCCCUCGGCUCAACCGAGGAAUUGCGCUCUAAACUACCGUGCUUGAGGAAGCUAGAGGUGAGCGGAACUGAUGGUGGAGCGGUGAAAUGCGUUGAUAUCAUCAGGAACACCGGAGGCGAAGGCGGCUCACUGGGGCUUUUCUGACGCUGAGGAACGAAAGCCAGGGGAGCGAACAGG
rnacentral:rRNA from 1 species